GCGCCCGUAGCUCAAAGGAUAGAGUACUUGGCUUCGAACCAAGGGGUUGCAGGUUCGAGUCCUGCCGGGCGCA
rfam:Candidatus Taylorbacteria bacterium RIFCSPHIGHO2_01_FTLL_51_15 rifcsphigho2_01_scaffold_1978, whole genome shotgun sequence.